UCGAGAUGAAACCUGAGACAAGGAUGCAAUACCCCAAGGGCAAAUAGAUCCAUGAAACUAAUCCUAAAAAGCUCAAGAAUUCAUCACUAAUUUUGGAGAAAACCGAAACCCUAACUCAAGAAUACGAUUUGGGAAAAACUCAAAAUCAAGCCGGAUUCGUGAGGGAUUUGAAAAGGGGAUCAUAUCAAAGAUGCUCUCCAAGGUUCUAGCAACAUUUCCCUUCAACCAAUCUCACGAGAUUCGGGCUCAAACAUGAUGAACGAAAAUUCCCCAAAAAUAGUUCCGAAAAUAGGGAAAAAGAAAAACGCUCGGGAAUCAAAGAUUUAGCACGAUUUGAGACAACAAAUAAAGCUAAAUCACGAGAACAUCUUCUAUACAAGAUGAAGACUAGCC
rnacentral:lncRNA from 1 species